rnacentral:misc_RNA from 1 species
GAUGAAGAACGUAGCGAAAUGCGAUAAGUAGUGUGAAUUGCAGAAUUCAGUGAAUCAUCGAAUCUUUGAACGCACAUUGCGCCCCUUGGUAUCCCGAGGGGCAUGCCUGUUCGAGCGUCAUUUCACCACUCAAGCCUGGCUUGGUGUUGGGCGACGUCCUCUUUGGGGACGCGCCUCGAAACGCUCGGCGGCGUGGCACCGGCUUUUAGCGUAGCAGAAUCUUUCGCUUUGGAAGUCGGGGCCCCGUCUGCCGGAAGACCUGCUCGCAAGGUUGACCUCGGAUCAGGCAGGGAUACCCGCUGAACUUAAGCAUAUCAAUAAGCGGAGGA